rnacentral:rRNA from 1 species
AGUGAACGCUGGCGGUAGGCCUAACACAUGCAAGUCGAACGGCAGCACAGGAGAGCUUGCUCUCUGGGUGGCGAGUGGCGGACGGGUGAGGAAUACAUCGGAAUCUACUCUGUCGUGGGGGAUAACGUAGGGAAACUUACGCUAAUACCGCAUACGACCUACGGGGGAAAGCAGGGGACCUUCGGGCCUUGCGCGAUUGAAUGAGCCGAUGUCGGAUUAGCUAGUUGGCGGGGUAAAGGCCCACCAAGGCGACGAUCCGUAGCUGGUCUGAGAUGAUGAUCAUCCACUGGAACUGAGACACGGUCCAGACUCCUACGGGAGGCAGCAGUGGGGCAUAUUGGACAAUGGGCGCAAGCCUGAUCCAGCCAUACCGCGUGGGUGAAGAAGGCCUUCGGGUUGUAAAGCCCUUUUGUUGGGAAAGAAAUCCAGCUGGCUAAUACCCGGUUGGGAUGACGGUACCCAAAGAAUAAGCACCGGCUAACUUCGUGCCAGCCGCCGCGGUAA